rnacentral:rRNA from 1 species
UGGGGAAUAUUGGACAAUGGGGGCAACCCUGAUCCAGCAAUGCCGCGUGUGUGAAGAAGGUUUUCGGAUUGUAAAGCACUUUCGGCGGGGACGAUGAUGACGGUACCCGCAGAAGAAGCCCCGGCUAACUUCGUGCCAGCAGCCGCGGUAAUACGAAGGGGGCUAGCGUUGCUCGGAAUGACUGGGCGUAAAGGGCGUGUAGGCGGUUUGUACAGUCAGAUGUGAAAUCCCCGGGCUUAAUCUGGGAGCUGCAUUUGAUACGCGCAGACUAGAGUGUGAGAGAGGGUUGUGGAAUUCCCAGUGUAGAGGUGAAAUUCGUAGAUAUUGGGAAGAACACCGGUGGCGAAGGCGGCAACCUGGCUCAUGACUGACGCUGAGGCGCAAAAGCGUGGGGAGCAAACAGGAUUAGAUACCCUGGUAGUCCACGCUGUAAACGAUGUGUGCUGGAUGUUGGGCAACUUAGUUGUUCAGUGUCGUAGCUAACGCGAUAAGCACACCGCCUGGGGAGUACGGCCGCAAGGUUGAAAC